AAGAAAGAGUUUUGGGCUAUCACUUAAAAAGGAAAUGCCUCAUUCUUCAACUCCCUCGACUGGAGACUUGGGAGACUCCUACCAUAUACUACUGCACCUUGAUACUCGGAAGUCUCACGACCACUCAGUGACUUGGAUUUUUCAAGUCUCCAAAUGAGAAGUUUUCCUCACUCGGGAAAUUAAGGGAGCACUACCUCAACCUACAUGCUUCACUCACAAAGCUUCAACAUACAAGCUUCAACAAAAGGAAAAAUUUAAAGAACUUAGUGAAGAAGGCCUUGGUGUAUUUAACACAAUAUGUUGAAAUGAAGCAAAG
rnacentral:lncRNA from 1 species